UUUUGAAUACCUAUACUUGACCACAUAUACCCUGUUUCAACUUCAAGAAAUAAACUGUUUCGCCUCGGAACUCCCCUGGGUUUGAGACUCAUACCAUUGGAAACCUCUUGAAGUCUAGUUUCUUUUAAAAAAAAGUAGGUUGCAAAACUCUAAGUGGUUCAAGAGAUAUGACCAUUCUCCCACAGCCUACCAUAUUCGACAGUUU
rnacentral:lncRNA from 1 species